rnacentral:rRNA from 1 species
ACGGCGAACGGGGUGAGUAACACGUAGGUGAUCUGCCCAUCAGACGGGGACAACGAUUGGAAACGAUCGCUAAUACCGGACAGGACGAAAGUUUAAAGAUGCUCCUGGCAUCACUGAUGGAUGAGCCUGCGGCGCAUUAGCUAGUUGGUGGGGUAAAGGCCUACCAAGGCGACGAUGCGUAGCCGACCUGAGAGGGUGAACGGCCACACUGGGACUGAGACACGGCCCAGACUCCUACGGGAGGCAGCAG